rnacentral:snRNA from 1 species
GUGCUCGAUUCAGCAGCACACAUACUGAAAAUAGAACAAUAUAGAGAAGAUUAGCAUGGCCGCUGGGCAAAAAGAACACCCAGAUUUGUGAAAUGAUCCAUAGUUUU